UACGUAGGGGGCAAGCGUUAUCCGGAUUUACUGGGUGUAAAGGGAGCGCAGGCGGUAUGGCAAGUCAGAUGUGAAAACCCAGGGCUCAACCCUGGGACUGCAUUGGAAACUGGCGGGCUUGAGUGCCGGAGAGGCAAGCGGAAUUCCUAGUGUAGCGGUGAAAUGCGUAGAUAUCAGGAGGAACACCAGUGGCGAAGGCGGCUUACUGGACUGUAACUGACGUUGAGGCUCGAAAGCGUGGGGAGCAAACAGG
rnacentral:rRNA from 1 species